rnacentral:misc_RNA from 1 species
GAGAACAUCGCCCUCGCGGGUGACUCUCCAACCCUAUGUUAUUGUACCUUUGUUGCUUUGGCGAGCCGCUUCGGCCACCGGCUCGCGCUGGUGAGUGCUCGCCAGAGGACCCAAACUCUAAUGUUUCUUAUUGUAACUUCUGAGUAAAACAAACAAAUAAAUCAAAACUUUCAACAACGGAUCUCUUGGUUCU